GGCAGAAUAGUGUAUGGUGUGUUGCUUUCUAGGAUGAGGUAGCUGAAGAGGCUUAGCCUGACAUGCUGGUGGUUUCUAACUGUAGAAUAUUGUUUGGCUAUAUGGUGUCUCAGGCAGCAAACUGGUUAGCAUGACAUGCUGUUUGUUUUUUUGUUUCAGUUACAGGCUCAGGAUGAAUGGUGGUUAGUCUAGCAUACUGUUAGCAUGCUAGUUAGUCUAAUGUGAUGUGGUAAAUAGGAGUGCAUGCUUUGUUGCUUGGUAAAAUGAGGUAGCUCAAGGUGAUUAUUUGGCUGUUUUUUGGUGGGUUGAGCUGCAUGCCAGUAAUAGCAACAUGCUAAUUAGCUCGACAUGUUGUUAGCUGGUUGUAGUUGGUUAACACGCUGUUAGCUGAUGAUAUUGUAGACAGUAAAUAUAAGUUUCUACAGAGGGUUGUGUUGAGUGUGUGGGUGCUGGUAAAGGGGGUGCUUCUGGAACACUGGAACGAACUGUUUCUGAGCCUUCUCAGUGUCAUUGGCCCAACAGAACACCAUUGAGAGCGACCUGAUGCCGCUGUAGACUUGCCUACAUUCUUAUAUUCACACACAAAUUCAUAUUGAAACCAUGUUCAUUUAUUUGGAAAGACGGGUCAAGGGACAUACAGUAAUUCAAGAGAAGUUUCUCAUAUCGGAAAGGUUGUUUAUCAGUGUUAAGUGUGUGAUUAUAUAUAUAUCAGUAAGACUAGUGAAACCAGUUAUACAGUGAUGGUUGGACAUCUGAGCAGACCAUGACAUUAUGAUGACAUUGCCUUGCAGUUACAAUGUAGAUAUAAGUCUGGGUCAAGCCACUGAGUAUAUGGUCUUUGUUUGGGUGAAAGUAGGAUUGAGAGGUAAAGGUACAUUAGGACAUACUGUCAGUGGUGACAAAAUGUAAACAAAUAGGCUGUUGGGGGGUGCAGUUGUCUCAAUUUUGCAAAUUUAAGUUUUGGAGUUAUUAAGUAGAAAGUUACACCUUACAGUGGUUCUAGAUGAAAAGUCAGGGUUCAGAAACACAAUUAGAACCAUAAUAAAUAUCCAUAAAAAAUAUAUAUCCAUGGUUGUUGUAGACAUACAGUAUUAUUCAGAAUGAAAUAGGUAAUAGGACACAGACUGACAGCCAAAUGGAAAACUGGGCAACAGUUACACUGCUGACAUGCCAAGACCAACUAAUACUAUAAUGCUGGUGCAGGCUUUUGUAUCAUUAUCCGUAUCUCUAUUCAAUCUAAGAGCGUUUGCCGUGGUCCCCAGCAGUGGCAGCUGUUCAGGAGCCCUGUAUUAUUAUGUCUGUGUAACCCUGCUGUAGAGGGGUGAGGAGGCCAUCAACCAUGUGGAAGUGAUUUUCAUCAAGACCUGCUUUCACCUUCCUGGCCUGCUCUGGUCCUGCUCUAUAAUUGUUGGAGAGGAGGGGAACUUCUCCUUCCUUUUUCCUCUCUCGCAGGAGGAAGCCUGGGGUGGAACAGCCAGUCCCUGAUGGCUCUGUAUCUGUCAGUUAACUGUGCAUCCAUCCUGCCACCCUCCGACUCACCCUGUCGGUCGGAAACCAUAAACGUGUCAGUGACCCAGAGCGACAUCUACUGUGUGAAGCACCACCUUACCCCCUUCAUGCCCUCUGCCAGUCCUUCCUAAAUCAUUCAGUUAGGACAGUAGCAGUGAAUGACAUUUCCCUCAGGCCCAGAGGACACAGAGGUAAAGCCAAGGCCAGGGGGGAAAGUCAUUCUCCUCAAUGUUCAGAGACAUCCGCUUCAAUAAUCAGUUGAGGACAGCAGGCCACAGAGCAGUACCAUCCCUUCAGCCAAAAGCUUGACAAGCCUUAUGUCACGUACACCAUCCCCUGCCAUCUCAAGCUGCCCAGCUGUGUGUGUGUGUGUGUGUAUGUGUGUGUUUGUGUGUGUGUGUGUGUGUGUUCCUGGCCACUCAGGGAGUUGGUGACAGACUGAUGAGUUCCUGGCUACAAGAGAAACGGUGAGCAGCAGGCUGAGCAUCCGCUCAGUUCUCCUCCUUCCCCUGGACCAUCAGCCUUCCUCCUGCAUGACGCACUAAACAUGCCAACACUCACACAUACACACACACCAUUUGUUUACAUUUCCACUUUCAUUUCAGCACAUUAAGUGCAGAAAUUAUGAUUAGUGAUACAAAGUCACAGCCAUACCUGUAGACAAUCUGUUAAGUCCAGCGACGCUCUCAGCCUGAGUUGGGCUGCAAAUGAAAAGAGCAGAAUAUCAAUUUAGCUUCUGAGAUCACUGAGACAUUGUAGAUUCUCCCAUCCCAUGCAUUCAGUGUGGUACCUGAAGAAAAUCUGCGUUACACAGGAAGUGGUGAUUCAAAAUGAGAGUAAAAGUGCUUCCUAACCAUCAGUGAGUAACUAUACAGAGGAAGCUGGAUUCACCCAUCAGACAGCAGCAGCACCUUUUCACCUCACCUAGUAGGAAGAGAACAUUUCAUUUACUACAGCAUAUAGGUGUAUAUUCAAACCGUGUUCUGCUAUUUCUGCUUGUGUAAUGGGGAUGCCUUCAGGAUCCUGGGGAAAGCUAUAUGCAGACAAUGGAAGUGAGCCCUCUUUCUCUACUAUUGGUCUACAGAACAAGGAAGUGCUUUGGGCUCUACAUUUUAAUAGGAGCCUCUAUUUCCUCCCUGUGUAUUUUUGCUAUUUGUCUCAAGUGAUUGUGCCAGAUUUGCACGCUCCUAAAAUUGUUACUGAUUGUGUCCCAGCCUAGUGUCUUGCACACUUUCAAAGUGGCUACUGUGUAGCUUUAGGCUCACUAAAUUGCCCUCUUCUUGUUGAUGGGUCUUUUUUUAUUAUGUAUCAAAUUUUGUGAAUAAAUUUUCUGUCUUUUGA